UGCAAGUCGAACGAGCGAGAGAGAGCUUGCUUUCUCGAGCGAGUGGCGAACGGGUGAGUAACGCGUGAGGAACCUGCCUCAAAGAGGGGGACAACAGUUGGAAACGACUGCUAAUACCGCAUAAGCCCACAGGUCGGCAUCGACCAGAGGGAAAAGGAGCAAUCCGCUUUGAGAUGGCCUCGCGUCCGAUUAGCUAGUUGGUGAGGUAAUGGCCCACCAAGGCAACGAUCGGUAGCCGGACUGAGAGGUUGAACGGCCACAUUGGGACUGAGACACGGCCCAGACUCCUACGGGAGGCAGCAGUGGGGAAUAUUGCACAAUGGGGGAAACCCUGAUGCAGCGACGCCGCGUGGAGGAAGAAGGUCUUCGGAUUGUAAACUCCUGUUGUUGAGGAAGAUAAUGACGGUACUCAACAAGGAAGUGACGGCUAACUACGUGCCAGCAGCCGCGGUAAAACGUAGGUCACAAGCGUUGUCCGGAAUUACUGGGUGUAAAGGGAGCGCAGGCGGGAAGACAAGUUGGAAGUGAAAUCUAUGGGCUCAACCCAUAAACGGCUUUCAAAACUGUUUUUCUUGAGUAGUGCAGAGGUAGGCGGAAUUCCCGGUGUAGCGGUGGAAUGCGUAGAUAUCGGGAGGAACACCAGUGGCGAAGGCGGCCUACUGGGCACCAACUGACGCUGAGGCUCGAAAGUGUGGGUAGCAAACAGGAUUAGAUACCCUGGUAGUCCACACCGUAAACGAUGAUUACUAGGUGUUGGAGGAUUGACCCCUUCAGUGCCGCAGUUAACACAAUAAGUAAUCCACCUGGGGAGUACGACCGCAAGGUUGAAACUCAAAGGAAUUGACGGGGGCCCGCACAAGCAGUGGAGUAUGUGGUUUAAUUCGACGCAACGCGAAGAACCUUACCAAGUCUUGACAUC
rnacentral:rRNA from 1 species